rnacentral:lncRNA from 1 species
UGGCGGGCAUGGUGAGCGAAAUGGGUUCAAGGACAAGCUCAUUGGAGAUGAAGAAGAGGGUGUUAGCUCCGUUGAGGUUACCAUCAAGUGUGCUGAGAUUCAACAUGCCAUUUCCAUAGGUAAUCUCUCUCUCUCUCUCUCUUUCUCUCUCUCUCUCUCUCUCUCUAAAUUUACUCGUUUCCCAUUUCAUACCUCUACAAGCUGCAUCCUAACAUGUCAACUAGGCUUUUUUUUUUAAUCAAUCAUGUUGUUGUGACUAUUUAGAAUUUCGUCGCUAAAGCAUCAUUCUGUUGUAGUGACCAGUGGUCACACCCUAAAAAGAAUGAAAAAAUAUGAUCUUGCUGCACUUUCAAUUUUCUUUCCAGAAGAUGUCAUCGCUAAAGCAUCUUUCUGUUGUUGUGAUUACAUGAUCACAACUGAAAAGACUGCAAAACUGUGUUCUUGCUGCCCUUUUAAUUUUCCUCGCGAAAGAUUUUGUCACUGAAGCAUCAUAUUGCUGUUAUGAUCACUGAUCACUCCCUGCAAGGACUGAGAAAUGAUGUUCUUGCUGCCCUAAUAAUUUUCCUCGCAGAAGAUUUUGUUGUCAAAGCAUCAUUUUGUUGCAGUGAUGACAACCUCAAAGAAUAGAAAAACUAUGUUCUUGCUGCUUUUUGUGACAGUAAAAUUUUCUCUCUGAUUUUGGUUGCUUUAUUUGUCCUCAGUUUCUUUAUUCUUUUGGUUGAUUUUUUUUAUAUUUUUGUUAUAUUUGUAGUUUAUGCAAUUUUUGGUGCUGUUAAAUCUAACUUUUGGUUCGUAUAAUGUUCCUAGGGGCGACCUCUUUUCUGUUCACCCAAUACAGAUACCUCAGCAUUUUCGUCGGUGUUUUUAGCACCAUAAUCUUCCUCUUCCUUGGCUCAGUGAAGGGUUUUAGCACUAAAAGCGAAGCCUGCACAUAUAACACAGGCAAUAUGUGCAAACCGGCAUUAGCCAACGCCUUCUUUAGUACUAUUGCCUUCUUGCUUGGUGCUUUUACAUCCGUCCUCUCUGGAUUUCUCGGGAUGAAGAUCGCAACGUAUGCCAAUGCUAGAACAACUCUAGAAGCAAGGAGGGGUGUUGGGAAGGCUUUCAUUACUGCCUUUCGCUCAGGUGCUGUGAUGGGGUUCCUUCUUGCUGCCAAUGGCCUAUUGGUGCUGUAUAUCACUAUCAAUUUGUUUAAGUUGUAUUAUGGGGAUGACUGGGAAGGACUAUAUGAGUCAAUUACUGGUUAUGGACUUGGAGGUUCUUCAAUGGCACUCUUUGGGAGAGUUGGGGGAGGUAUAUACACGAAAGCUGCUGAUGUUGGUGCUGAUCUUGUCGGGAAAGUUGAACGAAAUAUCCCUGAAGAUGAUCCACGAAACCCCGCCGUAAUUACCAACUCCUUUAUUACUAUGUUUGUUUGCUAAUUUCUACAUUUUCGCAAUGCAGAGCAUCACUUUUGACAUACUGAGUGUUAUACUUUCUUUGUCAAACAUUGUUAGAAGCGCUUUUAGUUAUAUGAGCGCUUUUAAUUUUGUGUUUCUUUCUCAGGUUAUUGCAGACAAUGUGGGUGACAAUGUAGGAGACAUUGCCGGGAUGGGAUCUGACCUGUUUGGAUCUUAUGCCGAGUCUUCUUGUGCAGCAUUGUUUGUUGCAUCCAUAUCAUCCUUUGGCAUCGGUCAUGACUACACCGCCAUGUCGUAUCCUUUGAUCAUAAGCUCAAUGGGGAUUGUGGUUUGUUUGGUAACAACCCUUUUCGCAACCGAUCUGUUUGAAAUCAAGAAAGUCAGUGAGAUCGAACCCGCCUUGAAGCGUCAACUCCUCAUCUCAACCGUCUUUAUGACUGCUGGGAUCGCCGCUGUCACUUUCGUAUCUUUGCCAUCAGAAUUCACUCUCUUCAGCUUUGGAACCAAUAAGGCUGUCAAAAACUGGUAUGCUUCUUUAUAUCCCCAACUUCCGUUCUUUCCCGAGUAAUUCUUCGUUAUUGUAUUAUGUGGUCUUAUCAAUUCACCCAUUUCAUAACACGUGUAUCGAUUUAUUAGUUAAUCACUAAUUCGUUUUCCCGUUACAUUUAGCAUAAUUAUCUGAAUUACAUGUGUGCUGUAGGUACCUCUUCUUUUGUGUAUCAAUCGGACUGUGGGCUGGUCUUGUUAUUGGAUACACCACAGAGUAUUACACUAGCAAUGCUUACAGGUGAGCCAUUUUAUUUCCUAAUUAAGUAAUUAUGAUUGUUGCACUUGAUCAAAUCUCCGAUGCUUAUUACUUUUUUCGGUUUGCAGUCCGGUGCAGGAUGUGGCAGAUUCAUGCAGGACUGGUGCUGCAACAAACGUGAUUUUCGGGCUGGCUCUUGGUUACAAAUCAGUCAUCAUUCCUGUGUUCGCCAUUGCGUUUGCUAUCUACGUUAGCUUUAGCUUGGCUGCCAUGUAUGGAAUAGCUGUGGCUGCUCUGGGAAUGCUCAGCACUAUCUCCACAGGUCUUGCAAUUGAUGCUUAUGGCCCCAUAAGCGACAAUGCUGGUGGGAUUGCAGAGAUGGCCGGGAUGAGCCACAAGAUACGCGAAAGAACAGAUGCUUUAGAUGCUGCAGGAAACACAACUGCUGCUAUUGGCAAGGUAAAACAAACCUAGGCGCAUUCUCGGAUCCUGAAAACGCAAAUUCACUUUCUCAAGACGCUUUCUGAAACGGUUUUAGAAAUUGUUACCAGACGGUCCCUAAGUAUUCAGUAUGAUGACUUGUAUCCCUUAUUUCGGUUUUGACAUGUUUUCUUGUAUGUGUCAGGGUUUUGCUAUUGGAUCAGCUGCUCUUGUUUCUCUUGCAUUGUUUGGCGCCUAUGUCAGCAGGGCGGGAAUAGAGACCGUUGAUGUGUUGACACCGAAAGUCUUCAUUGGCUUGAUUGUGGGAGCUAUGCUUCCGUACUGGUUUUCCGCCAUGACAAUGAAGAGUGUGGGAAGUGCUGCACUCAAAAUGGUCGAAGAGGUUCGCAGGCAGUUCAAUACUAUCCCGGGGCUCAUGGAAGGAACAGCAAAGCCAGAUUACGCAACUUGUGUCAAGAUUUCUACCGAUGCUUCCCUAAGGGAGAUGAUCCCACCAGGCGCCUUGGUCAUGCUUACACCACUCGUUGCCGGUACCUUCUUUGGAGUCGAAACUCUUGCAGGGAUUCUUGCAGGUUCACUUGUUUCCGGUGUGCAGGUAACCGUAGAUUUUCAAUUUCUCCGUCUUCUUUUAGAUUUACCGGCAUUUGCUAAUACGUCUUCCCUUUAUUUUCCUCCCUAGAUUGCCAUUUCUGCAUCCAACACCGGCGGGGCAUGGGAUAAUGCAAAGAAAUACAUAGAGGUAAGCACACUUCUGUGCUCGAUUGAGUUACAGUUGCUAGAACGCGAGCAUCAAACUCAAUACCAUUUGCUCUGAUGCACCUGCAGGCCGGCGGUUCAGAACAUGCUAAAUCACUAGGUCCGAAGGGUUCGGAACCCCACAAGGCGGCGGUCAUAGGCGAUACGAUUGGAGAUCCGCUCAAGGACACUUCAGGUCCUUCACUCAAUAUUCUGAUCAAGCUCAUGGCAGUUGAGUCCUUGGUGUUUGCUCCUUUCUUUGCAGCUCAUGGAGGCCUCCUCUUCAAAUGGCUUUGAAAAUGGAGCUGCAGCACGGUCAAAUUAACCGUUCAAGAUGG